CGUGAGUGAUGAAGGCUUUCGGGUCGUAAAGCUCUGUCAAGUGGGAAGAAUUCAUAUGGUGUUAAUAUCGCCAUGUGCUGACGGUACCACUGAAGGAAGCACCGGCUAACUCCGUGCCAGCAGCCGCGGUAAUACGGGGGGUGCGAGCGUUAUUCGGAAUUACUGGGCGUAAAGAGCGCGUAGGCGGUCUUUUAAGUCAGGUGUGAAAGCCCGGGGCUCAACCCCGGAAGUGCACUUGAAACUAAGAGACUUGAGUAUGGGAGAGGGAAGUGGAAUUCCUGGUGUAGCGGUGAAAUGCGUAGAUAUCAGGAGGAACAUCAGUGGCGAAGGCGACUUCCUGGACCAAUACUGACGCUGAGGCGCGAAGGCGUGGGGAGCAAACAGGAUUAGAUACCCUGGUAGUCCACGCAGUAAACGGUGAACACUAGGUGUAGCGGGUAUUGACCCCUGCUGUGCCGCAGCAAACGCAUUAA
rnacentral:rRNA from 1 species